UUUCCAGCUGGAACCAUGGAGGGUGUUGAAGAGAAGAAAAAGAAGGUUCCUGCUAUGCCAGAAACCCUUAAGAAAAAGCGAAAGAACUUCACAGAGCUGAAGAUCAAGCAUCUGAGAAAGAAGUGUGCCCAAAAGAUGCUUCGAAAGGCAAGGAGGAAGCUUAUCUAUGAAAAAGCUAAGCAUUAUCAUAAAGAAUAUAGGCAGAUAUACAGAACUGAGAUUCAGAUGGCUAGGAUGGCAAGAAAAGCUGGCAACUUCUAUGUACCUGCAGAACCAAAAUUGGCAUUUGUCAUCAGGAUCAGAGGUAUCAAUGGUGUGAGUCCAAAAGUCCGAAAAGUGUUGCAGCUUCUUCGCCUUCACCAGAUCUUCAAUGGAACUUUUGUUAAGCUCAACAAGGCUUCCAUUAACAUGCUGAGGAUUGUAGAACCAUAUAUUGCAUGGAGGUACCCAAAUCUGAAGUCAGUAAAUGAGCUAAUCCACAAGCGUGGUUAUGGCAAAAUCAAUAAGAAAUGAAUUGCACUAACUGAUAACAGUUUGAUUGUGCGAUCUCUUGGUAAAUAUGGCAUCAUCUGCAUGGAUGAUCUGAUUCACGAGAUCUAUACCAUUGGAAAACGCUUCAAAGAAGCAAAUAACUUCUUGUGGCCCUUUAAGUUAUCAUCUCCAUGGGGGGGGGAAUGAAGAAAAAAACAACCCACUUUGUAGAAGGUGGAGAUGCUGAAGAUCAAAUCAAUAGGCUUAUUAGAAGAAUGAACUAAGGUGAGAACAUUCUGAGAGUUCUCUUGAUUCCCAAGUAAAAGUGACAAUCUUAAAUACUUA